GAGUNCAAGAGGGGAGAGUGGAAUUCCAUGUGUAGCGGUGAAAUGCGUAGGUAUAUGGAGGAACACCGGUGGCGAAAGCGGCUCUCUGGCUUGUAACUGACGCUGAGGCUCGAAAGCGUGGGGAGCAAACAGAAUUAGAUACCCUGGUAGUNCACGCCGUAAACGAUGAGUGCUAGGUGUUAGACCCUUUCCGGGGUUUAGUGCCGCAGCUAACGCAUUAAGCACUCCGCCUGGGGAGUACGACCGCAAGGUUGAAACUCAAAGGAAUUGACGGGGGCCCGCACAAGCGGCGGAGCAUGUGGUUUAAUUCGAAGCAACGCGAAGAACCUUACCAGGUCUUGACAUCCCUCUGACCGCUCUAGAGAUAGAGUUUUCCUUCGGGACAGAGGUGACAGGUGGUGCAUGGUUGUCGUCAGCUCGUGUCGUGAGAUGUUGGGUUAAGUCCCGCAACGAGCGCAACCCCUAUUGUUAGUUGCCAUCAUUCAGUUGGGCACUCUAGCGAGACUGCCGGUAAUAAACCGGAGGAAGGUGGGGAUGACGUCAAAUCAUCAUGCCCCUUAUGACCUGGGCUACACACGUGCUACAAUGGCUGGUACAACGAGUCGCAAGCCGGUGACGGCAAGCUAAUCUCUUAAAGCCAGUCUCAGUUCGGAUUGUAGGCUGCAACUCGCCUACAUGAAGUCGGAAUCGCUAGUAAUCGCGGAUCAGCACGCCGCGGUGAAUACGUUCCCGGGCCUUGUACACACCG
rnacentral:rRNA from 1 species